UGGCUAACUCCUACGGGAGGCAGCAGUGGGGAAUAUUGCACAAUGGGCGCAAGCCUGAUGCAGCAACGCCGCGUGCGGGAUGACGGCCUUCGGGUUGUAAACCGCUUUUAGUAGGGAAGAAGGGCUUCGGCUUGACGGUACCUGCAGAAAAAGGACCGGCUAACUACGUGCCAGCAGCCGCGGUAAUACGUAGGGUCCGAGCGUUGUCCGGAAUUAUUGGGCGUAAAGAGCUCGUAGGCGGUUUGUCGCGUCUGCUGUGAAAACUAGAGGCUCAACCUCUAGCCUGCAGUGGGUACGGGCAGACUUGAGUGGUGUAGGGGAGACUGGAAUUCCUGGUGUAGCGGUGGAAUGCGCAGAUAUCAGGAGGAACACCGAUGGCGAAGGCAGGUCUCUGGGCACUUACUGACGCUGAGGAGCGAAAGCGUGGGGAGCGAACAGGAUUAGAAACCCCGGUAGUCCAGCUGG
rnacentral:rRNA from 1 species